rnacentral:rRNA from 1 species
CACUAACUGGAGGACCGAACCGACUAAUGUUGAAAAAUUAGCGGAUGACUUGUGGCUGGGGGUGAAAGGCCAAUCAAACCGGGAGAUAGCUGGUUCUCCCCGAAAGCUAUUUAGGUAGCGCCUCGUGAAUUCAUCUCCGGGGGUAGAGCACUGUUUCGGCAAGGGGGUCAUCCCGACUUACCAACCCGAUGCAAACUGCGAAUACCGGAGAAUGUUAUCACGGGAGACACACGGCGGGUGCUAACGUCCGUCGUGAAGAGGGAAACAACCCAGACCGCCAGCUAAGGUCCCAAAGUCAUGGUUAAGUGGGAAACGAUGUGGGAAGGCCCAGACAGCCAGGAUGUUGGCUUAGAAGCAGCCAUCAUUUAAAGAAAGCGUAAUAGCUCACUGGUCGAGUCGGCCUGCGCGGAAGAUGUAACGGGGCUAAACCAUGCACCGAAGCUGCGGCAGCGACACUAUGUGUUGUUGGGUAGGGGAGCG